rnacentral:rRNA from 1 species
AUUGAACGCUGGCGGCAGGCCUAACACAUGCAAGUCGAACGGUAGCACAGAGAGCUUGCUCUCGGGUGACGAGUGGCGGACGGGUGAGUAAUGUCUGGGAAACUGCCCGAUGGAGGGGGAUAACUACUGGAAACGGUAGCUAAUACCGCAUAAUGUCGCAAGACCAAAGAGGGGGACCUUCGGGCCUCUUGCCAUCGGAUGUGCCCAGAUGGGAUUAGCUAGUAGGUGGGGUAACGGCUCACCUAGGCGACGAUCCCUAGCUGGUCUGAGAGGAUGGCCAGGCAACCUGGGAAUGAGACACGGUCCAGACCUCUACGGGAGGCAGCAGUGGGGAAUAUUGCACAAAGGGCGCAAGCCUGAUGCAGCCAUGCCGCGUGUAUGAAGAAGGCCUUCGGGUUGUAAAGUACUUUCAGCGAGGAGGAAGGCGUUGUGGUUAAUAACCACAGCGAUUGACGUUACUCGCAGAAGAAGCACCGGCUAACUCCGUGCCAGCCGCCGCAGUAACAC